GACGAACGCUGGCGGCGUGCUUAACACAUGCAAGUCGUACGGUAAGGCCCUUUCGGGGGUACACGAGUGGCGAACGGGUGAGUAACACGUGAGUAACCUGCCCACAACUUUGGGAUAACGCUAGGAAACUGGUGCUAAUACUGGAUAUGUGCUCCUGCUGCAUGGUGGGGGUUGGAAAGCUCCGGCGGUUGUGGAUGGACUCGCGGCCUAUCAGCUUGUUGGUGGGGUAGUGGCCUACCAAGGCGGCGACGGGUAGCUGGCCUGAGAGGGUGACCGGCCACAUUGGGACUGAGAUACGGCCCAGACUCCUACGGGAGGCAGCAGUGGGGAAUAUUGCACAAUGGGCGCAAGCCUGAUGCAGCAACGCCGCGUGCGGGAUGACGGCCUUCGGGUUGUAAACCGCUUUCAGCAGGGACGAAGCUUUUUGUGACGGUACCUGCAGAAGAAGCACCGGCUAACUACGUG
rnacentral:rRNA from 1 species